UGCAAAACAAAUUUAUUGUGCAGCUGGAACGGGGGCCGUUACACUGUAAGAGAGUGAGUAGUAGGUCUCACAGUGAACCGGUCUCUUUUCUUACUGUAGCAAGUCACUUCAGAAAGAC
rnacentral:pre_miRNA from 14 species